GAUAUCAUGACCCUUGAUGGUUCCGCCAAGCAAUCUGCACGGCGGAUUAAAAGGGAACACGGUGAGGCGUACCCAAAAGGGACCGAGACCGUGGCUGCCCCCGCAACUGUGAGCGGAGAGCCGACCCAUGUGUGCCACUGGACCAAUGGUCCGGGAAGGCGGGACAGGCGAAGAACCGCAAGCCAGGAGACCUGCCAUUGAGAACCGGGCAUC
rnacentral:ncRNA from 2 species